GAUAAGACAAAGAAGUAUAAUAGAGAAAGUAGUAAAGGUCAAAAUGUCUCUUAGUCAUUUAAGGUCUAACAUGCAACAGGCCAUGGAAAGCAUAUGCCUGAUUUCAUGUGAGUUGAAGAAAUGACAAGCAUUUGGGUCCAUCUUGGAGAAAGAAGGUUGGCCUCUCAACUUAAAGAAAAAAGGACAACAUGUACAUCAGAAUGUGACAGUCCAGCUUUCUGUCUCCAUGAAAUUGGGGGACUAUCUAACUAAGUUUCUAGGACAAUGCUUGGCUGACAUCUGAGCUUGCGUGCUUUCCAUCACAAAUUCUCAA
rnacentral:misc_RNA from 1 species